AAAAUACAUUAAAGGAAGGAUAUACUUUUCAUUUUGGGCUAGCUUAUAAUUACUUUUAAAAUAUUGAUAUACAUGAAGUACGUUUUGAGAUAGAAUAUCUUUAGUAAUACCUCUCUACUACCACCAUUUUAAAAAUCAAUUUGUUAUAUAAAAAUACAUUAAAGGAAGGAUAUACUUUUCAUUUUGGGCUAGCUUAUAAUUACUUUUAAAAUAUUGAUAUACAUGAAGUACGUUUUGAGAUAGAAUAUCUUUAGUAAUACCUCUCUACUACCACCAUUUUAAAAAUCAAUUUGAAAAUCUGGUGGUUGCUUUAAUGCUUUGUUAGUCAAAAUAUAUUAAUCACGAAUGAGUUGUGGUAGGAUUUUGAAUACUUAAAAUA
rnacentral:lncRNA from 1 species